GCGCUUAACUGCGCGGGACUAAACCUUCACACUUGUUUAUUGUUAANUACUGUCAGUNGAGCGUGAGCUGGGGUGUAACACAUAACUAUAAGAUAUAAUCUUAACUUAACACUAGUCAUGAAAUUUUACCUAAAAUAAAAUAUUCAAAACUUUCAACAACGGAUCUCUGGGUUCUCGCAACGAUGAAGAACGCAGAAAAAUGCGAUACGUAAUAAGAAUCGCAGGUUUUCGUGAAUCAUCGAAUCUUUGAACGCACAUUGCGCCUUUGGGUAUUCCAGAAGGCACGCCUGUUUGAGCCUCAUUUCUUUCUCAGGGGGCCUCGGUUUAGUGGUAGAGAGGGGUACUCUAGCACAGGGUUAGCUUGAAAUAUCAGUAGUGAGAGUGGUCGAAGCGACUUUCUCUCUGGAUAAUAUAUUAGGUUCUCCCAACUCGUUACCCAGGUGUGAUGGAGCUUCAGCCAAUGCCUCCACUCCUCCUAUCUCAAAGUUUGACCUCAAAUCAGGUAGA
rnacentral:rRNA from 1 species